UAAGUAGGACAGGCGAUCGCAGCCACGGAAACGUGGGUGAGGAAAGUCCGGGCUUCACAGGGCAGGAUGCCGGAUAACGUCCGGUGGAGGUGACUCCAAGGCCAGUGCAACAGAAAUAUACCGCCAGGAGAUAAUUACGAAGUGGUUUUCUCGAAGAUAACUGCGAAGCAGUUUUCUUGGAGAUAAUUGUGAAACAAUUUUCUCCCGGUAAGGGUGGAAAGGCAGCUUAAGAGACUACCGUCCGUCUGGUAACAGGCGGAGCCAUGUAAACCCCAUCCGAAGCAAGACCAAAACGAAAGCUAUAGGCUUGCCCGGCCUGCUUUCAGGUAGGUCGCUGGAGGCACCUGGCAACAGGUGUCCUAGAUAGAUGAUCGCUCAACGACAUAACCCGGCUUAUCGUCCUGCUUACUAU
rnacentral:RNase_P_RNA from 1 species